rnacentral:rRNA from 1 species
AUUGAACGCUGGCGGCAUGCCUUACACAUGCAAGUCGAACGGUAACGGGCCUUCGGGUGCCGACGAGUGGCGAACGGGUGAGUAACGUAUCGGAACGUACCUUUCAGUGGGGGAUAACGUAGCGAAGGUUACGCUAAUACCGCAUAUUCUGUGCGCAGGAAAGCAGGGGAUCGCAAGACCUUGCGCUGAUUGAGCGGCCGAUAUCAGAUUAGCUAGUUGGUGAGGUAAAGGCUCACCAAGGCGACGAUCUGUAGCGGGUCUGAGAGGAUGAUCCGCCACACUGGAACUGAGACACGGUCCAGACUCCUACGGGAGGCAGCAGUGGGGAAUUUUGGACAAUGGGGGCAACCCUGAUCCAGCCAUGCCGCGUGAGUGAAGAAGGCCUUCGGGUUGUAAAGCUCUUUCGGCCGGGAAGAAAUCGUAUCAGCUAAUACCUGGUGCGGAUGACGGUACCGGCAUAAGAAGCACCGGCUAACUACGUGCCAGCCGCCGCAGUAAUAC